rnacentral:rRNA from 1 species
UACGUAGGGGGCAAGCGUUGUCCGGAAUCACUGGGUGUAAAGGGAGCUCAGGCGGAUUUAUAAGUCAGAGGUGAAAUCCUGCAGCUUAACUGCAGAACUGCCUUUGAUACUGUAGAUCUAGAAUUCAGGAGAGGGUGAUGGAAUUCAUGGUGUAGCGGUGAAAUGCGUAGAUAUCAUGAAGAACACCAGUUGCGAAGGCGGUCACCUGGCCUGAUUAUUGACGCUCAAGCUCGAAAGCGUGGGGA